rnacentral:snRNA from 1 species
GGAACUGAGGGCGAUCAGCUGUGCCAUUUGUCACCCCCUGAUCAUCAGGGCUGAUUUGGCUGAUCUGGCUGGCUAUGCAGUUGUCCCUUUUCCCUUUCAAGGCUCCAUGUGUAACCCUCCUGAAGCUAAGUGCAUGGUCCAAGAGAAUGACCACCUCCGCCAGAGGAGGACGUUCCUAGGUCAAGGGUAGAGAAC